rnacentral:lncRNA from 1 species
UGGCACAUAGUAGGUACUGGCUUUUCCUUCCUCUGUGCCUGGCAACACCAUGAAAUAAAACUCGGCUUUCAUGAGAUUAUAUGGUAGAUGAAGCAACUUUGAAUAUACAUAUAGACUAAUGGAACAAGUUAGAGAGCUCAGAAAUAAUGCUACAUACCUACAGCCAUCUGAUCUUCAACAAAGCUGACAGAAACCAACAAUGGGGAAAGUACUCUCUCUAUUCAAUAAAUGAUGCUGGGAUAACUGGCUAGCCAUAUAAGGGAGAUUGAAACUGGGCCCUUUCCUUAUACCACAUACAAAAAUUAAAAGCAGUUUGAUCCUUUUGGUAUUCGUAUAUAAGAUUUGUUAGGCAGAAACAGGACAGUGAUCAUUACAGAGAUAAUUAUUUUUCUCUACGGAGACAAGACCUUUCUCAGCACUCUUCCAAAUGACCCAUGAAUUUUUCCAAUCUUGCUGAUGGGUUUUAUUUUUAGCUUUAUUUCAUUGAAUCAGGAAUGUUAAUUUUAAAAAUAUUUUGAAAUUCAUAAUGUUCUGUGCAACUCAUAACAAAUUAUCAUUUGAAGGUAAAUCAGUCCUUUGCUCAUUGUUCACACUGCCAAAACACCUAAGCAUAAAUCUAUGUAUUUAAUAAGAAUAAUCAGCAACCACAGGAGCAGCAAGCACUAGAGAAAGAUAAACAUCAAGGAGUACAAUAAAGUAAUGUACAUUUAAAAUUUCCCUUUUAUAUCUGGAAAGAGCUGUUAUCUGCUACUGUUUAAAAAAUACUCACAGGUGGGACAAGGAAUACAAUUCCAAUCUCGUGUGUAAAAUUAAUAAGUAUUAAAUUCAGGAAAAUUUUUGAAAUAAAAUAAUGAGUUUAUGCUGACAGCAAAAAGGAGAAAUAAAGACUUUCCCAGACAAACAAAAGUUGAGGAAUUUCAUCAGUACCAGACCUGUCCUAUAAGAAAUGCUAAAGGGAGUACUUCAAUCCAACAGAAAAGGAUGUUAAUGAACAAUAAAUCAUAUGAAGAUACAAAACUUACUGGUAAUAGUAAGUACACAGAAAAACACUGAAUAUUAUAACAUUGUAACUGU